AGUUCGUUACUUUGCAGACCCAAUAGGUGAGUGAUUAUACUGCUGUACGAAGAUAUUAUACACCAUGUCCACCGCGUUAACGGAAACUGUUAACCUUGAUAAUGGAGACAUUAUACAAAUGCCUAAAAUGGCCCCACCACCACUUACGCCGGAGCAAAAAGAAGCGCUUGCUAAAGCGAAAAGGUAUGCUGUACAGGAAAGUGUCAAACAUGUGUUGCUUAAACAAGAGGCUCAGGCAAAGCUUGCAGUCGAAAACUCACUGGUCACAACCGCAAGCCAGCCUUUGCCAGGUUUACCAAGCGGGCUCGGUAAUGAAAACAUGUUUUUACAAAAGCAACAAGCUUUGGUGCUAAUGUGCAGGGUUUAUGUGGGCUCCAUUUACUACGAUUUAAAAGAAGAAAUUAUUCGAAAUGCAUUUUCACCAUUUGGCCCAUUUAAAUCUAUAAAUAUGUCAUUCGAUCCAAUUACCGGAAAGCAUAAAGGUUUUGCUUUCAUCGAGUAUGAGACCCCUGAAGCCGCCCAGUUAUCACUGGACCAAAUGGGAGGUGUUAUGUUAGGUGGAAGAUCCAUUAAAGUGGGUCGUCCUGCCAACAUGCCACAAAGUCAUCCAGUUAUUGAUUUACUCUUGGAUGAAUCAAAGAUGCAAAAGAGAAUUUACAUUUCUUCUGUUCAUACUGAUCUAAACACAGAAGAUUUAAAAUCUGUGUUUUCUGCCUUCGGAAACAUUCUUUCAUGUGCACUUGUCCCAGACGUGCUUACUGGAAAGCACAAAGGUUACGGCUUUAUUGAAUAUGAUACAUUGCAAGCAGCUAAUGACGCAGUUGCUUCAAUGAACUUGUUUGACCUAGGGGGUCAAUACCUUCGUGUUGGUAAAGCUAUUGCUCCUGUGGGUGUGACCAUCCCCCCUGGCAGUUCUUUUACAAACAGUGCUUUCCCAGGGGUUCCUGGAUUGCCAAGUAUAGUUGGAAUGCCUGGGUUUCCAUCCACCCCAUUACCCACACCUGCUGCCAUCCCCGCACCUGGAGUAGUUACUGCCCCAGUUUUAAGUUCAAGAUCCAACCCCAAUAUUCCACCUCCUGGGAUCGCUAUACCCACUACCAUUGCAACAACUACAAAGCAGAAAACUGCAAAGGAAACUAUGGAGCUGCCGAACACUCUCAGUGCCCAGGAGGACAUGAAGUUGUCUGGAGUGCAGGCGAGACAUAUGAUCAUGCAAAAACUGAUGCGGAAAGAGGAGGCAAGUAAAGUGAUGGUCCUCCAUAACAUGGUGGAUGUUGAGGAAAUAGAUGACGACUUGGAAUCGGAGGUGACAGAGGAAUGUGGAAAGUUUGGAUCUGUCAGUAGAGUUGUUAUUUACCAAGAAAAACAAAGUGAGGCAGAAGAUGCUCCAGUCACCGUAAAGAUAUAUGUUGAAUUCACUGACUCAGUAUUUUGUAAAAAAGCUGUCGAGUCCUUAAAUGGACGCUGGUUUGGGGGUCGAAAAAUUGAAGCAAUAAUUUAUCCCCAGCAUAAAUUUAAUCAUAAUGAUUUGACUGGAUAAACUCCUACACUGGACAGUACAUUAUAAAAGAUAAUGUGUCACUAGUCACUACAAACAAAUGAGGGUUUAUUUCAUUGAGUUGAAUAAAGUUGUUGUUUUCAAUUUGAGUGCAACCGCUGCUUUUUCUAGUUGUAAAUUUUGGUGAAGUGAAAGGUGGCUCAACACUGAAACAGAUUCACCUGUUUACUUUGCACUGCUGCAAUGAGUUUGUCUUCAAAAAUAAUUAUUCUCCUAGUACUUUAUAAUAUACUGCCAAAAAUGAUUUGGUACCCAUAGUAACGUCAUUUGUAACUGGAGCAACAUUUCUUAUUAAUGUGAAUAUGAUCAUAGUAAAAAUUGGUUUAUAUUUGGUCAAAAUAUUUUAUUUUUUGUGUACAUUACAGAAA